ACCUUUUUUUGCAGAACAUGGACACAUUCAGAUUUAUGCUAUGCUCCAGAAGUGCCAUCUUUCAACGAUUCUUUGGUCGACGGGAUUGUUGCGGCCAUUAUUCCUUGCCUGAUCGUUUCCCCACUGGAUUGUUUCUGGGAUGGAGCAAAAGUUCUUAAGCUGAGGGCGACUCUACCAGAUAUAGUCAAGAGUUUUCCACUAGAGUGGACCAAAAGCCACCCUUCGACGCUUCUCGGCUUGUUGCCACUUUUGCAGAUAGAGGGCGAAGA